rnacentral:rRNA from 1 species
CGGGGGGGGGGCAAGCGUUGUUCGGAAUUACUGGGGCGUAAAGGGCGCGCAGGCGGCCUGGCCAGUCCUACGUGAAAUCCCACAGCUCAACUGUGGAAUUGCGUGGGAUACUGCCAGGCUUGAGUCCGGGAGAGGAGAGUGGAAUUCCCAGUGUAGCGGUGAAAUGCGUAGAUAUUGGGAGGAACACCGGUGGCGAAGGCGGCUCUCUGGACCGGCACUGACGCUGAGGCGCGAAAGCUAGGGGAGCAAACGGGAUUAGAUACCCCGGUAGUCCUAGCCCUAAACGAUGAGCACUUGGUGUGGCGGGUAUCGACCCCUGCCGUGCCGAAGCUAACGCAUUAAGUGCUCCGCCUGGGGAGUACGGUCGCAAAGGCUG